CCUACGGGAGGCAGCAGUGGGGGAUAUUGCACAAUGGGCGGAACCCUGAAGCAGCGACGCCGCGUGGGUGAAGGAGCGCUUCUGCGCGUUAAGCCCUAUCGGCAGGGAAGAAGGAGGACGGUACCUGACUAAGAAGCCCCGGCUAACUACGUGCCAGCAGCCGCGGUCAUACGUAGGGGCCCAGCGUUAUCCGGAUUUACUGGGUGUAAAGGGGGCGCAGACGGGAGCGCAAGCCAGGGGUGAAAGCUCGGGGCCCAACCCCGAGACUGCGCUUGGAACUGCGCGGCUGGAGUGCAGGAGGGGCAGGCGGAAUGCCUGGUGUAGCGGUGAAAUGCGUAGAUAUCAGGAAGAACACCGGUGGCGAAGGCAGCCUGCUGGACUGCGACUGACGUUGAGGCCCGAAAGCGUGGGUAGCAAACAGGAUUAGAUACCCCAGUAGUC
rnacentral:rRNA from 1 species